rfam:Pochonia chlamydosporia 170 chromosome 1, whole genome shotgun sequence.
UUAGCUCUCUUUGCCUUUUGGCUUAGAUCAAGUGUAGUAUCUGUUCUUUUCAGUUUAAUCUCUGAAAGGUCUCUAUUGAGACCAAUCUAGAUUAUUCUUAUUUUUGGCCUUGGAGCGGUUUCCUCUGUGCUUGCACAUGAUUCCGCUCACAGUGUCCCUGGUAUUACACUGCCUCCAGGUGACGCGAACUUUU